CCUCCUCCGCCAGCGCCAGCGCCACCGUCACAACCUCCUCCUCCACCACCAACGUCGCCUACCCCACCUCCAAAAUCUCCUCCUCCACCACCAACGUCGACAACCCCCCCGGCCAUACCCCCAUGGCCACCGAACAUACCCCCAUGGCCACCGGACAGACGGCCAGGUCUGCCAUUAUAACCUCGCGCCCUGCAUAGAAGACCUACUACCACAGCCACAACGGCUACCGAACACCAAACAGCGAUCAUAGCAACAGCCACCGAGUUCAUCUUUAUCGUCUU
rnacentral:lncRNA from 1 species